rnacentral:rRNA from 3 species
UAUUACAAUGAAGAGUUUGAUCCUGGCUCAGGAUGAACGCUAGCUACAGGCUUAACACAUGCAAGUCGAGGGGCAGCAUGGUCUUAGCUUGCUAAGGCCGAUGGCGACCGGCGCACGGGUGAGUAACACGUAUCCAACCUGCCGUCUACUCUUGGACAGCCUUCUGAAAGGAAGAUUAAUACAAGAUGGCAUCAUGAGUCCGCAUGUUCACAUGAUUAAAGGUAUUCCGGUAGACGAUGGGGAUGCGUUCCAUUAGAUAGUAGGCGGGGUAACGGCCCACCUAGUCUUCGAUGGAUAGGGGUUCUGAGAGGAAGGUCCCCCACAUUGGAACUGAGACACGGUCCAAACUCCUACGGGAGGCAGCAGUGAGGAAUAUUGGUCAAUGGGCGAGAGCCUGAACCAGCCAAGUAGCGUGAAGGAUGACUGCCCUAUGGGUUGUAAACUUCUUUUAUAAAGGAAUAAAGUCGGGUAUGCAUACCCGUUUGCAUGUACUUUAUGAAUAAGGAUCGGCUAACUCCGUGCCAGCAGCCGCGGUAAUACGGAGGAUCCGAGCGUUAUCCGGAUUUAUUGGGUUUAAAGGGAGCGUAGAUGGAUGUUUAAGUCAGUUGUGAAAGUUUGCGGCUCAACCGUAAAAUUGCAGUUGAUACUGGAUAUCUUGAGUGCAGUUGAGGCAGGCGGAAUUCGUGGUGUAGCGGUGAAAUGCUUAGAUAUCACGAAGAACUCCGAUUGCGAAGGCAGCCUGCUAAGCUGCAACUGACAUUGAGGCUCGAAAGUGUGGGUAUCAAACAGGAUUAGAUACCCUGGUAGUCCACACGGUAAACGAUGAAUACUCGCUGUUUGCGAUAUACGGCAAGCGGCCAAGCGAAAGCGUUAAGUAUUCCACCUGGGGAGUACGCCGGCAACGGUGAAACUCAAAGGAAUUGACGGGGGCCCGCACAAGCGGAGGAACAUGUGGUUUAAUUCGAUGAUACGCGAGGAACCUUACCCGGGCUUAAAUUGCAGAUGAAUUACGGUGAAAGCCGUAAGCCGCAAGGCAUCUGUGAAGGUGCUGCAUGGUUGUCGUCAGCUCGUGCCGUGAGGUGUCGGCUUAAGUGCCAUAACGAGCGCAACCCUUGUUGUCAGUUACUAACAGGUUCCGCUGAGGACUCUGACAAGACUGCCAUCGUAAGAUGUGAGGAAGGUGGGGAUGACGUCAAAUCAGCACGGCCCUUACGUCCGGGGCUACACACGUGUUACAAUGGGGGGUACAGAGGGCCGCUACCACGCGAGUGGAUGCCAAUCCCCAAAACCUCUCUCAGUUCGGACUGGAGUCUGCAACCCGACUCCACGAAGCUGGAUUCGCUAGUAAUCGCGCAUCAGCCACGGCGCGGUGAAUACGUUCCCGGGCCUUGUACACACCGCCCGUCAAGCCAUGGGAGCCGGGGGUACCUGAAGUGCGUAACCGCGAGGAGCGCCCUAGGGUAAAACUGGUGACUGGGGCUAAGUCGUAACAAGGUAGCCGUACCGGAAGGUGCGGCUGGAACACCUCCUUUCU